rnacentral:rRNA from 1 species
UACGAGGGGGGCGAGCGUUGUUCGGAAUUAUUGGGCGUAAAGCGUGCGUAGGCGGUUUGGUAAGUCUCUUGUGAAAUCUAUGGGCUCAACUCAUAGUCUGCAAGGGAAACUGCCGGGCUUGAGUGUGGGAGAGGUGAGUGGAAUUUCCGGUGUAGCGGUGAAAUGCGUAGAUAUCGGAAGGAACACCUGUGGCGAAAGCGGCUCACUGGACCACAACUGACGCUGAUGCACGAAAGCUAGGGGAGCAAGCAGG